rnacentral:lncRNA from 1 species
GUCAGCCAAAGGCAACUUCCCCCCACCCAAGUGCCAGGGGAACAACAGACUGCUGGAAAGCACCUGGAAGGGCUGCAGGAGACAGGUAGCAGCAGAAGUUUGAACUGAGAAUUUAGGAGGCACUCAAAACGUUCACUGGUAACAAAAUUUGACAUUUUUCUAGCACUUAAUAUAGA